rnacentral:misc_RNA from 1 species
CUGCCCUCAAGCACGGCUUGUGUGUUGGGUGCGGUCCCCCUGGGGGGCCUGCCCGAAAGGCAGCGGCGACGUCCGUCUGGUCCUCGAGCGUAUGGGGCUCUGUCACUCGCUCGGGACGGACCUGCGGGGGUUGGUCACCACCAUGUUUAUCACCAC